rnacentral:rRNA from 1 species
GUAGCCGUAGGGGAACCUGCGGCUGGAUCACCUCCUUU